rnacentral:rRNA from 1 species
AAACUUUCAACAACGGAUCUCUUGGUUCUCGCAACGAUGAAGAACGCAGCGAAAUGCGAUACGUAUUGUGAAUUGCAGAUUUUCUUGAAUCAUCGAAUCUUUGAACGCACAUUGCACCCUCUGGUAUUCCAGAGGGUAUGCCUGUUUGAGCGUCAUUU